GACGAACGCUGGCGGCGUGCUUAACACAUGCAAGUCGAACGGAAACAGGAUGAAGCCUAGCGAUUCCUGUUUUAGUGGCGGACGGGUGAGUAACGCGUGGGUAACCUGCCUUACACUGGGGGAUAACAGUUAGAAAUAGCUGCUAAUACCGCAUAAGCGCACAGGGCCGCAUGGCCUGUGUGAAAAACUCCGGUGGUGUAAGAUGGACCCGCGUCUGAUUAGCUAGUUGGUGAGGUAACGGCCCACCAAGGCGACGAUCAGUAGCCGGCCUGGGAGGGUGAACGGCCACAUUGGGACUGAGACACGGCCCAAACUCCUACGGGAGGCAGCAGUGGGGAAUAUUGCACAAUGGGGGAAACCCUGAUGCAGCGACGCCGCGUGAGUGAAGAAGUAUUUCGGUAUGUAAAGCUCUAUCAGCAAGGAAGAAAAUGACGGUACUUGACUAAGAAGCCCCGGCUAACUACGUGCCAGCCGCCGCGGUAAUAC
rnacentral:rRNA from 1 species